rnacentral:rRNA from 1 species
UGGGGAAUAUUGCACAAUGGGCGCAAGCCUGAUGCAGCCAUGCCGCGUGUAUGAAGAAGGCCUUCGGGUUGUAAAGUACUUUCAGCGAGGAGGAAGGCGUUGCGGUUAAUAACCGCAGCGAUUGACGUUACUCGCAGAAGAAGCACCGGCUAACUCCGUGCCAGCAGCCGCGGUAAUACGGAGGGUGCAAGCGUUAAUCGGAAUUACUGGGCGUAAAGCGCACGCAGGCGGUCUGUCAAGUCGGAUGUAGCAAAUGCCCCCAGGGCCUGCAAACCUGGGAAUCUGCAUCCGAAACUGGCAGGCUAGAGGUC